GAAGGUAUAGCUCAGGGGUAGAGCACGUGCUUUGCAUGCACAAGGUCCUGGGUUCAAUCCCCAGUACCUUCG